UUUACACCUCAAUAAAAGCCCACUCCUGAAGAGUCUACCGAAAGCCCGUCUCCAACACCAGGUAUACCAGAUGAGACAACUGGGCAGACGACAUUGACAAGUCCUACUCCUGAAGAGUCUACCGAAAGCCCGUCUCCAACACCAGACUUUACCACCAUACACCAGUCAUUACCUCCAGGAGCAAACGUUGUACAACAGAGGACAUCCCUCUUCAAACGGAUUGAAGGAAGGCUCCUUCAAAAUCACGUGAUCAAAGUCAUACGUGGAUUGUCAUUGGUCGAAUGCGGAGCCGAAUGCAACAAGCGGCAUAAUUGCCUGUCAUUCAAUUUCGGCAACGGUGUCUGCAAGCUCAACAACGGGACAGUAGCGGGGAGUAAUGUCGGCGCAGGAAACUUUUUUAGAGACGAGAGAUUCAAUUACUAUGAGAAACAAUGAAAUGAUAUUUUACUGGUUCAUUAUUAAUGUCACGGUGAUCAAGUCACAAAGGGGAUUUGAAUUAAAUUGAAUAGAAUAACUUUAUUGUCCAUAAGGAAGUUCCCUUUUUACUGGUUUACACACAUGUAGAUACAAUGUUUAUACACAGAACAAAAAAAACAGUCAGACAUCUGUUUGACAGUG